UAGGGAAAUCUAUAUUAGUCAUCAACUUAUUAAAACCUUCAACAUCCCAUACUAUUUAUAUACUUUCUCUAACUUCUUUAAAUUCUUAACCAUUUCAUCUCGCACAUACUUUCAAGGUGCUAGCUCAUUCUUCUUAUACAACUUCAAUUGUUUAACCACGACCCAAUAACCACAAUGUUCAUCUGUUUCGACAUCUUCAAUAUGAUUUAUGAAUGGUUGUAUAUCUACGGGAAGUUGCUUCACGUACAAAUCAUUAAUCCGAUCGGUAGAUGCCAUUUCGGUUUGUGGUGUUGAUGUUUUACAAAUCUUUCUUGGCUCCAUUUGAUUUAAAGCGAUUUGGAAAUGCUCAAAUUCUGAUAGGUCCCUUUUAUUUGAUUUAUUCUUCAGCUGCUGCAACUUUGUAGGUCUACCGUGCUGUAUUUAUGAAAUUUUCGGCUCUUUCAGGCAAGUGGUUUUCAGAUUCCAAAUUACCCUAAGCGCUGACUGCAUUACAAUUCUUUGAAUGAGGAGUAGUAGACAAUUGCAUCCAGAACGGAUCAAUGGAGCUAAGGGGUAUAACACCAUGAGAAUAUUUAUAUUCGUACAACAUGUGUGCACAAGGUAGUCCAUUGAUUGUGUAUAAAACACACCCACAUAUUUUGAGAUAUGAUCCAUGCUUGUCGACACGCCGCAACUCUUCACACAAAAGCCGCAAUAUGUGGUACGUUGUUUAGAAGCAACACCAGCAUUGUCUGUUUCAUGAAGUCAUGCAUGGUUCUUGUGGCACUCACUUCAAAAUCAGCCUCAAUCUCGACAAGGUUGUUUUCAUACUUCUGAUGUGCACUAUGACAACAGACCAGGUGGCACAAAAUUUCUUAUAUCGCUCAUAGUACUCCUCUUUUGUUGAUGACCAAGCAAGGGCUUUUCACUCGUCCAUAAAUUUAUCAAAAACUUCUCUUUUUUUCUCUUCUUCGGUCUUAUUUACUUUGCCAUUUUUAUCCUCAUUCUUCUUGUCUUCGAUUAUACCAGAUUCUCUAUUCUCUUCAGACUUUUUAUCAUCACCCAUGCUAUCAUCAUCCUUAUUAUCUUUAACUCUAAAGAAUUUUGCACAACGAGAAAAUACAUUCUUCCCGAUAUGCCAUGUGCAGAGGAGAUGAGAUGCAACUGGAAAUACAUACUCGCAAGCAUUAAUCAAACCACUGUCAGCAUCAGUUACAACUACAAAUGAAAUCUCAUUUUCUCUGUAUAAACGUUUCACACAUUGUAAAGCCCAUAUGUAGUUCUCUUUUUUUCUCUGCUCAUGAAUGCAAGCGCGACCGUGAAUGUCUUUCCAGUUGAGGUAUGAGAAACCACAUGAAAUAAUGGCAAGUUAUACCUAUUGGUCUUGUAUGUGUUAUCGAGUAAAAUAAAU